UGGGGAAUAUUGGACAAUGGGCGAAAGCCUGAUCCAGCCAUGCCGCGUGAGUGACGAAGGCCUUAGGGUUGUAAAACUCUUUCGUCGGGGACGAUAAUGACGGUACCCGAAGAAGAAGCUCCGGCUAACUUCGUGCCAGCAGCCGCGGUAAUACGAAGGGAGCUAGCGUUGUUCGGAAUCACUGGGCGUAAAGCGUACGUAGGCGGUGACUCAAGUCAGAGGUGAAAGCCUGGAGCUCAACUCCAGAACUGCCUUUGAAACUAGGUCGCUAGAAUCACGGAGAGGUGAGUGGAAUUCCGAGUGUAGAGGUGAAAUUCGUAGAUAUUCGGAAGAACACCAGUGGCGAAGGCGGCUCACUGGACGUGUAUUGACGCUGAGGUACGAAAGCGUGGGGAGCAAACAGGAUUAGAUACCCCCGUAGUCCCUGAGCGGGCUGGCAAGGCGCAU
rnacentral:rRNA from 1 species